rnacentral:lncRNA from 1 species
AUCAAGGGUAUCUGUUUCCCCCUCCGCCAUAUAGUUUGGAAAGACGUAAAAGGACAACUCCCUGUGGAUGACGGCAUAUCUUCUGACGAGAGUGGUGACGCAAAUAUCUGUUAGGGGUCACCUUUGGCUAAGUAGUAUCAUGACUAUAGAAUAUCUUAUAGGACCAGUAGGGUCAGUAUGGCCAUGAUCAUAAUCGUACCAUAGUUUGGCAAACAAAAAAUGUGCUUGAGAA